rnacentral:rRNA from 1 species
UCGAGCGAACGGACGAGAAGCUGCUUCUCUGAUGUUAGCGGCGGACGGGUGAGUAACACGUGGAUAACCUACCUAUAAGACUGGGAUAACUUCGGGAAACCGGAGCUAAUACCGGAUAAUAUUUUGAACCGCAUGGUUCAAAAGUGAAAGACGGUCUUGCUGUCACUUAUAGAUGGAUCCGCGCUGCAUUAGCUAGUUGGUAAGGUAACGGCUUACCAACGCAACGAUGGCAUAGCCGACCUGAGAGGGUGAUCGGCCACACUGGAACUGAGACACGGUCCAGACUCCUACGGGAGGCAGCAGUAGGGAAUCUUCCGCAAUGGGCGAAAGCCUGACGGAGCAACGCCGCGUGAGUGAUGAAGGUCUUCGGAUCGUAAAACUCUAGUUAUUAGGGAAGAACAUAUGUGUAAGUAACUGUGCACAUCUUGACGGUACCUAAUCAGAAAGCCACGGCUAACUACGUGCCAGCAGCCGCGGUAAUACGUAGGUGGCAAGCGUUAUCCGGAAUUAUUGGGCGUAAAGCGCGCGUAGGCGGUUUUUUAAGUCUGAUGUGAAAGCCCACGGCUCAACCGUGGAGGGUCAUUGGAAACUGGAAAACUUGAGUGCAGAAGAGGAAAGUGGAAUUCCAUGUGUAGCGGUGAAAUGCGCAGAGAUAUGGAGGAACACCAGUGGCGAAGGCGACUUUCUGGCCUGUAACUGACGCUGAUGUGCGAAAGCGUGGGG